rnacentral:rRNA from 1 species
CCUACGGGUGGCAGCAGUAGGGAAUAUUGCCCAAUGGGGGAAACCCUGAUGCAGCAACGCCGCGUGGACGAUGAAGGAUUUCGGAAUGUAAAGCUCUAUCGUCAGAGAAGAAAAUGACGGUACCUAACUAAUAAGCCCCGGCUAACUACGUGCCAGCAGCCGCGGUAAUACGUAGGGGGCGAGCGUUAUCCGGAUUCACUGGGUGUAAAGAGAGCGUAGACGGGAAUGCAAGCCAGAUGUGAAAUCCCGGGGCAUAACCACGGGACUGCCCUUGGAACUGGAGGGCUGGAGUGUGGGAGGGGUAGGUGGAAUUCUUGGUGUAGAGGUGAAAUGCGUAGAGAUCAGGAGGAACACUCGAGGCGAAGGCGGCCUGCUGGAACGCGACUGACGCUGAGGCGCGAAAGCGUGGGGAGCGAACAGGAUUAGAUACCCGAGUAGUC